UCCUAGGCUUGCAGACAGCCUAUUGUGGGACUUCACCUUGUGAUCGUGUGAGUCGAUACUUCUUAAUAAACUCCCCUUCAGCUUCUUCUCGGAUAAAACACCAAAUGGCAGAUGACGCGGGUGCAGCGGGGGAGGUGGGGCGGGGAGCGGCCCUUGGAUGGGGAAUCAGCUUCUGCGGAGGUUUCGACCUGCAGUCAGGGGCCGGGAGGGCAGAGGCCACAGAGCUCAUGGAGGCAAGGCUAAGGAUAAAGAGUGGAUGCCUGUCACCAAGCGGGGCCGCCUGGUCAAGGACAUGAAGAUAAAGUCCCUGGAGGAGAUCUACCUCUUCUUCCUGCCCAUCAAGGAAUCUGAGAUCAUUGACUUUUUCCUGGGGGCAUCUCUCAAGGACGAGGUUUUGAAGAUUAUGCCGGUGCAGAAGCAGACCCAGGUGGCCAGUGCACCAGGUUCAAGGCAUUUGUUGCCAUUGGGGACUACAAUGGCCACGUCGGUCUGGGUGUUAAGUGUUCCAAGGAGGUGGCCACUGCCAUCCGUGGGGACAUCAUCCUGGCCAAGCUCUCCAUUGUCCCCGUGCACAGAGGCUACUGGGGGAAAAAGAUCAGCAAGCCCCACACUGUCCUCCCUUGCAAGGUGACAGGUUGCUGUGGCUCUGUGCUGGUGCACCCCAUUCCCGCACCCAGGGGCACUAGCAUUGUCUCAGCACCUGUGCCCAAGAAGCUGCUCAUGAUGGCUGCAGUGAUCUCUGGAAUCCCCCAGCUCAGCUGCUGCACCAGCUCCUGCCCUCGCAGCUUCAGGGCGGGGCUGGCGAAGCUGCUGACUAAUCGUCCUGCGCAUGCGCAGCCACCUCGCGUCACGUGGCCUCGUGCCAACCAAGUUCUCAGGUGCGAGGCCUCAAGAACUUUCUGUCGUCAGUGCGGGAUCCUUGGGACGGCUUUGUUCCCACCUCGGCUGGAGCUCCAGGUCCUGGAACACCUGAGUGUGCACUUGAGAGGGUAA